UUAUACUGGAUAGGAACGUCUACCGCAUGGUGGAUGUUGGAAAGAAUUUCGGUCAUGGAUGGACUCGCGGCCUAUCAGCUUGUUGGUGAGGUAAUGGCUCACCAAGGCGACGACGGGUAGCCGGCCUGAGAGGGUGACCGGCCACACUGGGACUGAGACACGGCCCAGACUCCUACGGGAGGCAGCAGUGGGGAAUAUUGCACAAUGGGCGAAAGCCUGAUGCAGCGACGCCGCGUGAGGGAUGACGGCCUUCGGGUUGUAAACCUCUUUCAGUAGGGAAGAAGCGAAAGUGACGGUACCUGCAGAAGAAGCACCGGCUAACUACGUGCCAGCAGCCGCGGUAAUACGUAGGGUGCGAGCGUUAUCCGGAAUUAUUGGGCGUAAAGAGCUCGUAGGCGGUUUGUCGCGUCUGUCGUGAAAGUCCGGGGCUUAACCCCGGAUCUGCGGUGGGUACGGGCAGACUAGAGUGCAGUAGGGGAGACUGGAAUUCCUGGUGUAGCGGUGGAAUGCGCAGAUAUCAGGAGGAACACCGAUGGCGAAGGCAGGUCUCUGGGCUGUAACUGACGCUGAGGAGCGAAAGCAUGGGGAGCGAACAGGAUUAGAUACCCUGGUAGUCCAUGCCGUAAACGUUGGGCACUAGGUGUGGGGAACAUUCCACGUUUUCCGCGCCGC
rnacentral:rRNA from 1 species